AUUUCUACUUCACUGCGCCUCCCUCCUACCCGCAGCGCCUCCCUCUCCUGCCCCAGCGCCGCCGCCGGCCAUACCCUGCCCUGAGCGCCGCCCUCUCCCCUGCCGGCCGCGCCGCCGCCCAGCUCCCCUGCGCCGCGCCCCGCCCCUCUCCCCUGCGCCACGCUCCUCUCCCCCGCGCCCCGCCCCUCUCCCGUGCGCCACGCUUCUCUCCCCCGUGCAGCAAAAGCCCCGCACCCAACCCCCAGCCCGGCGAGCGAUGGAGGGGUCCGCGGCCGACGCGGAGCAGGAGCAGAAGCGGGCGGCGGCGGCCAACGCGCUGCAUCAAAAAAAGAAAAAAAAAGAAAUCACCCAACACGCUCUUUCCCUUUUCUUUUCCUUCCAUCUCCCUCUCAGACCUAGCGAUUGCUGCAGAGGGAGAGGCGGCGGCUGCCGCGGCUUAGGCCACGCACCACGCGGAGGAGCGGGUGGGGCCAACAGAUCGUGGAUCCUCCUUGUGGCGUAGGUACGCCUGGUAAUGAGCUAUGACGAUCCCUGUUGGGAAUCCGGCACCAUCGGAGGCGCAACACCGUGUUCUUAAAGAACCUUUGCUAUGGAGAUCCGCAAGAACCAACUUCACCCGCCCGAGUGGAAUCUGUCAACGAGGGCAACGGAAUCAGAGUGGCCGACCUGAUGUGCAUCAUACCACAAGGAUCCCAACAAGUGCUGUUUAUUGUUUUGCUGAGCGUAAAGGAGUAAAAUCUGAUAAUGUUUCCGAAGGGAAUUGUUUUUGGCACUGCUGCUUCUGCAUAUCAGAUUGGUUCUUUGAUUUUUCCACACCUUCAUCUAGAGGUGUGGCCUUAUAUGACUUCUUAUUUAAGGGGGUUUCAUUUAUUGUUUCUUAGGUUCAGUCUUCAGUGAUAAAUCAGACAUGAAUUCACUCUGAUAGAACAUGAUCAAUUUUUGUUCGAAAAGAAAAAUCUUUUGUCCUCAACAUGCAAGGCUGCAAGGAAUCACUAGAAUCCGUUGUCAUUCUUGGUCACAUUCGUUGAUGCCCUUGCUGCUUUUCUGCAUUUACAUUUCCCUUCAAAUGCAGUGAUAAAAUUAAGGCAAAAGAGGAAUGUCUGUUGCCACAUUAGAAGCUUGUUUGUUGUCUUUUCUGCAUUUGACAUGGUGUGAUUUUAAUAUAGUAUGUCAAUGGAUAGAAUUAAUCUGCAUGAUUUGCACUAAUGGUUUUCAUGUCUAAUUGCUUUAGAAGUAGUCUUCCUACUUUCUGUACUCUACUAAGUAUAUUUAAUAUCACCUCACAGAAGCGUUCAAAUUCCACUUUAAUGGCAAGUAGAAAGUUCAAUUCUCGAGUCCUGAUAUGUGCAUUAAAAUUUGUUCCUUAACAUAAGCAGGGUCCUCUUGGUGCACCAACUCUCCAGUUGCUGACAAAAUUGGAUUUGAGCAAAAUGUAAUUCAGUGACUUCUAUUACUUUUAUUGUUUAUCUCUAUUAUUUUAGAAUCCCACACCUCAUGAUUCUUAUUCUUUCAAGUACAUUAAACCCUCAUCAACCAAUGUUUAUCAUACCGUUGUAGGCAGGAGUACUGUAUUUUCGUUUUCUUUUAUCUGUGAAAUUUCAGUGAAAGGCAGUAGAUGAGUAAUAGAAUUACGAAUAUCCAGUGCUAGGUGGCUGUCUUGGUUGCAUUGUCAAAUCUGCAACUCGAGCUAAGGGAGAUAUGGGGCUGCAGCGACAAAGGCAAGGCUGUUGCCUGUGCUUUGUCCAAUGUUACUCCUUUUAGUAAAUGUUUAGCUAGUACUCUCAGUUUUGUGGUUGUGCAAAGAGUUUGUUAUGUUGAUGCCAAAUAUUUGGAGAAGAUUUGGGUAGAUGGGUGCCAAAAGUCUACGCGCCUUGUGUACUUUGUUGUUAUGUUGAUGCGACACUAGGAUAUAUUUGUAUUUAGUGGAUUCAUGUUGGACUACUAAUAAUAUAUAUAAUCGUGUGUAUUAGGUCA